AACAACUACCAACCACACAUAAUAGUUUGAUAAACUGAGUACCAUGUUUCCCUGAACUAUUAGCCAAGGAAUUCUUUUCCAAAACACAGUGCGUUAUCAUCACAACACUUGGUCAGCAAGGCAAACUAAAGAAGACGUGAUUCUCGUUUGUACAAGGUAAAGCAUCUUCAGCCCAGUUCAUGAUCAAUGCUCAACUAGACAAACACUAGGUGGUCUAUCUUAUUUUACAUGAGGCCAAUAAGUCAGAAAUAUAAGAACAAAAUUUAUCCUCUUCCCGUUCAGAAAUUAAAGUCUAUUAGGUCAGUUUCAAGUUUCCACAACAAUUUUUACUAGUUCCUGUGGCAUAAGAAGGAGAGUUUUUGACACGUUUGGUCCAUUUACUGUCACCCUAAAUAUAAGUUGAUCUCUUUGUACAAUCUGUUAAAAAUCCUUAAAUAUAAGUUAAUCCCUUUGUAUAAUCUGUUAAAACAUUUCAAAUUCUUUUUAGUAUGAACAAAUCUAACACACCCAUCAAAAACAAAAUGCAUGACCACAUCUAACACCUUCUCCACCCAAAAGAGCUGUCAAAGAAAGAUGAAUCUCUCACUUGCUGGCUGUUUGACCAGCCAACACAUUAAUAGGGAAAAAGUAAUCGUGCAUUAUUAACUUGUUUUCCCCAGAUUAAAAACCUCAAGAGUUGUUCAAUGCAAGGAGAACGUACACAGAGC
rnacentral:lncRNA from 1 species